CUGACCUCAAAUCAGGUAGGACUACCCGCUGAACUUAAGCAUAC
rnacentral:rRNA from 1 species